UCGAAUAAAUUGUCAUUUACCAAUUCUGCAGUGAAAGUCGAUUCGAGUCGAUGCUGCAUUCUUUGAAUCUCGCUAAGUUCUUUCAUUAAACGACGUAGACGAACUCUUUUAUCCGGCAUCGCCAUGGUUCCCUAAAAAAACAACUUCCAUGAUUGGAAUUACUAACACCCGGAUUAUCCGACAAUGCACCAUCAGUUGGAGUGACUGCAUCCGGACGAUGCCGACUUAGAAGCCUUCUCGAUGGUGAACUCGUCGAACUACUUGCUCCAUCUUGUUCCGAAAUCUUCUCUGAAGAUCGAAAAAAUUUUCGGAAAGCAGCCACCACUUUCUCUUUCGAUCUUGUGGACAUGAUUUUUCCAAUAUUGACACACUAAUUAUAAAUUUUUAAUUUAUUGUAAUAAUUUUUGCAAUUAUAAUUAUGAUAAAAUAAUUAUUUUAAUCAUUAUUUUAUAUAACAACAACAUAAAUCAUAAUUAUGGUUAUUAAAGUAACAAUAAUUAAACAUUAAAAUUCAAUUUUUAUUAUAUUCUUAUCAAUUGAAAUUAACAAGAAUUUAAAAAAUAUUUUUAUUGCAAAAGAUAAAUAAAACUUAUUUAUUAAAUAUGAAUAUUAAUAUUUUUACAAAUUUUAUGAAUCUUUUUCAUUAAAAUUAAAAAAUAUAAUAAUAAUAAUAUAUAAUAUUAGAACUUUAUUGUUUAUUGUUUACUAUCAUAUGCCAAAUUAUAAUAAUUAUAAUAAUUCAUAAUUUAUAAAUAUGAUAAAAAAAUAAACUAAUAAAUGUUUAAUUAUUAUUAUAAAUUAUUAAAAUUAUCAUAAUAAUAUUAUAAUAAAAAUUAAUAAAUCAUUAUAGGCAUUAUAUGCUAUUAUAAUACAAA